GAGUUUGAUCCUGGCUCAGGAUGAACGCUGGCGGCGUGCUUAACACAUGCAAGUCGAACGGGGAUGCUUAUGGAAGGGGUGCUUGCACUCUGGAAGUAAGGAUCUUAGUGGCGGACGGGUGAGUAACGCGUGGGUAACCUGCCCCAUACCGGGGGAUACCACCUGGAAACAGGUGCUAAUACCGCAUAAGCGCACGGGAGCGCAUGCUCCUGUGUGAAAAACUCCGGUGGUAUGGGAUGGACCCGCGUCUGAUUAGCCAGUUGGCAGGGUAACGGCCUACCAAAGCGACGAUCAGUAGCCGGCCUGAGAGGGUGGACGGCCACAUUGGGACUGAGACACGGCCCAAACUCCUACGGGAGGCAGCAGUGGGGAAUAUUACACAAUGGGGGAAACCCUGAUGCAGCGACGCCGCG
rnacentral:rRNA from 1 species